rnacentral:rRNA from 1 species
GCGCUUAAUGCAUGCAAGUCGAACGAGAACGGUGGCUUCGGUCGCUAAGUAAAGUGGCAGACGGCUGAGUAACACGUAAGUAACCAACCCCGGAGCGGGGGAUAAUCAUGAGAAAUCGUGUCUAAUACCCCGUACGUCCCAACAGGCGUUGCGGUUGAGGGGAAAGGCUUCGGUCGCUCUGGGACGGGCUUGCGGCCUAUCAGGUAGUUGGUGGGGUAAAGGCCCACCAAGCCAUAGACGGGUACCCGGUGUGAGAGCACGAACGGGCAGAGGGGGACUGAGACACGGCCCCCACUCCUACGGGAGGCAGCAGCAGGGAAUCUUGCGCAAUGGGCGAAACCGUGACGCAGCGACACCGCGUGGGGGAAGAAGGCCUCAGGGUUGUAAACCCCUUUUCUGGGGGAAGAGAUAGGACGGUACCUCAGGAAUAAGCAUCGGCUAACUACGUGCCAGCAGCCGCGGUAAUACGUAGGAUGCAAGCGUUGUCCGGAUUUACUGGGCGUAAAGGGUGUGUAGGCGGCAUGGUAAGUCUCAUGUGAAAUCUCCCGGCUCAACCGGGAGGGGUCAUGGGAUACUGCCAAGCUGGAGGGCAGCAGAGGAAAGCGGAAUUCCGGGAGUAGUGGUGGAAUGCGUAGAUACCCGGAGGAACACCAGAGGCGAAGGCGGCUUUCUGGGCUGUACCUGACGCUGAGACACGAAAGCGUGGGGAGCAAACCGGAUUAGAUACCCGGGUAGUCCACGCCCUAAACGAUGGAUACUAGAUAUAGGGGGUAUCGACCCCUCCUGUGUCGGAGUUAACGCGAUAAGUAUCCCGCCUGGGGAGUACGGCCGCAAGGAAGAAACUCAAAGGAAUUGACGGGUCCCGCACAAGCGGCGGAGGUGUGUGGUUUUAAUUCGAUGAUAAGCGAAGAACCUUACCUGGGCUUGACAUGCAUUUGCCAGCCCGUGAAAACGGGCUUUCUUUCGAGAAAGA